GUCUCGGUAGUGCAAGGAAGCAAGGAGCACCGGGCCCGAAAAGGACAUGUACGGGUUCGAGUCCCGUCCGAGACU
rnacentral:tRNA from 1 species